GGAAGCUGGUCCUCUAUAAAAGCCAGUGAGGCGGGCUUCUCUUUCUUUCUCUUACGCUACUUCGGGUCGAAGAUAGAAUUAGUGUUGUCCUGCUGUGAAUUUCAGCUUCGCUCUGGCCCCUCUUGGCUUGGAGUUUGCGGCCAUUGUUCCCUCACCCUGCCAUAGGUACUGGGAGCAAUGCCCGAAAUGACCCAUUCUCAGGAGGAGCUUUGCUGCAGCGGCAAGGCCGCCAAAGGACGAGGUGUACCCUGUGCUGUGGAUGAACUUAGCAACAAACAGAUUCCAUGAAGAUAGCAAGCUACAACAAAUUUCUAUGCAUUUCUAUUCUGUGUUGGUAAGUUAAAGAUUUAAGAGCUGGGAAAAGCCUAUACUCUUAACACAUUUUGGCAGAAUGCAUAUAGGUGAACUUGUGAAAAGAAGCAAUUCCAUAGCAGCUGUAAAGGGGCGCCUGCCAUAAAAGAGGCACUUGUCAGUGAUUUGACUCUGAGAAGAGCUAAAAUUGGUCAGAAAGAAUUAAUUUCUGUCUGGCAUCCAACCUGAACCUGUCUUACAACAUAAGGAAAAGAGGAGCCAAAGGAUGAAGUUGCAGCCUUUACAGGAAUAGCCUCACAAAUUGGAAUCUGUUCAAAUAUACUGCCAUGGGUAAAUUCCAGGGCUGUUAUUAGUUAGCAUAAGCAAGGGUGGUGGUCCUUUGGUCUGUUUCUCUAUCCUUUUCCCCAUCAAUCUAUUGCCCUGCAUCUUAGUGCAAAUUUGUCCAAACUAAUUACAUAGCCCACAAUAAGGCAAAGCCUUUUUUGCUAAAUUCUCUGUGACUAUAUGCUUUACCACAGGAAUGCAGCCUAGAACCAAGAACUUGGCUACCAAAUAUCUCAAAGCAUGUAAAGGAAAAGCCAGUAAUGACAAACCUAGGUUUUCAGCCUAUUUUGAAAUACUGUCUUUGACUUGGUUUCCUCAGCUGUAAACUGGAGAUAAUAGCACCUACCUCUCAGUAUUACAUGAGAUAGUAUUUGUUAAAUGUUUAGUAUAGUUUCUGGCACAGAAUAAGUGCUUAAUAAAUAUAUCAUUUCUAUUAUAUAUAGCUAGUUAUAUACUUACAAUGCUUGUUUCCCUAUCAAUGUUAGGGAAAUUCAGAAAAGUAUGAGGGCAUCACUCACCUAUAUACCACCUCCAACUAUGCCAUGCUUAAUGCAGUUAUCUGGCAUGCUCGAGUUUGCAAGGACCUGUCUGAGCUCAAGCUUAGACAGAUGGUGCUCCUAGUUUAUAUUAUUGGAACCCAUUGAUUCCUGUUUUGAUAUAUAUUGUCAUAAAUUACAAUUGUAUGUUUAAGUUCUGAAUAAAAUGAACAUUGAUAAAUUGUUA